ACAGUCAUAUCCUGUCAAAACACCAGUUCUCGUAUGAUCACUAAAGUGGAGCAACCUCGAGCCUGGUCAGUACUUAGAUGGGUAUCUGCUUGGGAAUACCAGGUUGUU